AUUGAACGCUGGCGGCAGGCCUAACACAUGCAAGUCGAGCGGCAGCGGAAAGUAGCUUGCUACUUUGCCGGCGAGCGGCGGACGGGUGAGUAAUGUCUGGGAAACUGCCUGAUGGAGGGGGAUAACUACUGGAAACGGUAGCUAAUACCGCAUAACGUCGCAAGACCAAAGAGGGGGACCUUCGGGCCUCUUGCCAUCAGAUGUGCCCAGAUGGGAUUAGCUAGUAGGUGGGGUAACGGCUCACCUAGGCGACGAUCCCUAGCUGGUCUGAGAGGAUGACCAGCCACACUGGAACUGAGACACGGUCCAGACUCCUACGGGAGGCAGCAGUGGGGAAUAUUGCACAAUGGGCGCAAGCCUGAUGCAGCCGUGCCGCGUGUAUGAAGAAGGCCUUCGGGUUGUAAAGUACUUUCAGCGGGGAGGAAGGUGUUGUGGUUAAUAACCACAGCAAUUGACGUUACCCGCAGAAGAAGCACCGGCUAACUCCGUGCCAGCAGCCGCAGUAA
rnacentral:rRNA from 1 species